GGGCUUGAGGUCAGGAGAGGGAAGUGGAAUUCCCGGUGUAGCGGUGAAACGCGUAGAUAUCGGGAGGAACACCAGUGGCGAAGGCGACUUCCUGGACUGCACCUGACGCUGAGGCGCGAAAGCUAGGGGAGCGAACGGGAUUAGAUACCCCGGUAGUCCUAGCCGUAAACGAUGGACACUAGGUGUGGGAGGUAUCGACCCCUUCCGUGCCGCAGUUAACGCAAUAAGUGUCCCGCCUGGGGAGUACGGCCGCAAGGUUGAAACUCAAAGGAAUUGACGGGGGCCCGCACAAGCAGUGGAGCGUGUGGUUUAAUUCGACGCAACGCGUAGAACCUUACCAGGGCUUGACAUCCUCUGACCGCUGUGGAAACACAGAAUUCCGAGCUUGCUCGGACAGAGAGACAGGUGCUGCAUGGUUGUCGUCAGCUCGUGUCGUGAGAUGUUGGGUUAAGUCCCGCAACGAGCGCAACCCCUGUCCUGUGUUGCUAACGGGUAAAGCCGAGCACUCACAGGAGACUGCCGGAGAUAAUUCGGAGGAAGGUGGGGAUGACGUCAAAUCCUCAUGGCCCUUAUGUCCUGGGCUACACACGCGCUACAAUGGCCUGAACAACGGGUUGCGACAUCGCAAGGUGAAGCCAAUCCCUCAAAUCAGGUCCCAGUUCAGAUUGCAGGCUGCAACUCGUCUGCAUGAAGCCGGAAUUGCUAGUAAUCGCGGAUCAGCCACGCCGCGGUGAAUACGUUCCCGGGCCUUGUACACACCGCCCGUCACACCACGAGAGUUGACAACACCCGAAGCCGGUGAGCUAACCGCAAGGAAGCAGCCGUCUARUGGUGGGGUUGAUGAUUGGGGUGAAGUCGUAACAAGGUAGCCGUAUCGGAAGGUGCGGCUGGAUCACCUCCUUUCUAAGGAGACUGAUGUUGAGCCAAAGGGCAACCGCCGGUCUCAACACAACUCCAGGUCGAUCGCUCGCGGAGGUCUGUCUGUAAAGACACUGAAGUGAGCGUCUGUUAGACUUAGGUCCUUGUCGCGAAAAGGUCGCUAAGCGAGCCGGCUAACGCUGGUCGCAAGGCGAUACCGCUUGCGAAGCACACUGUUUGGUUUUGAGAGAUCGACAACGUCCAUAUUGAGUUGUGGACGCGCGGUCUUCGCACCUUGAAAACAGCACAGAGUGUGUAAUACACAGGGUAAUUCAAUGUAACGCGCACAUUAGGGUAGCGGCGAAUAGCGUGUAAGACACGCAUGAUGGUCAAGCUACUAAGGGCGUACGGUGGAUGCCUUGGCGCUGAGAGCCGAAGAAGGACGUGGCUAACUGCGAAAAGCCUCGGGGAGCCGUAAGCAGGCAUCGAUCC
rnacentral:sRNA from 1 species